rnacentral:rRNA from 1 species
AUUGAACGCUGGCGGCAUGCCUUACACAUGCAAGUCGAACGGCAGCACGGACUUCGGUCUGGUGGCGAGUGGCGAACGGGUGAGUAAUGCGUCGGAACGUACCGAGUAAUGGGGGAUAACGCAGCGAAAGUUGUGCUAAUACCGCAUACGCCCUGAGGGGGAAAUGGGGGAUCGUAAGACCUCACGUUAUUCGAGCGGCCGACGUCUGAUUAGCUAGUUGGUGGGGUAAUGGCUCACCAAGGCGACGAUCAGUAGCGGGUCUGAGACGGAUGAUCCGCCACACUGGGACUGAGACACGGCCCAGACUCCUACGGGUGGCUG